rnacentral:rRNA from 1 species
GAUGAACGCUGGCGGCGUGCUUAACACAUGCAAGUCGAACGGGAAUUAUUUUAUUGAAACUUCGGUCGAUUUAAUUUAAUUCUAGUGGCGGACGGGUGAGUAACGCGUGGGUAACCUGCCUUAUACAGGGGGAUAACAGUCAGAAAUGGCUGCUAAUACCGCAUAAGCGCACAGAGCUGCAUGGCUCAGUGUGAAAAACUCCGGUGGUAUAAGAUGGACCCGCGUUGGAUUAGCUGGUUGGUGGGGUAACGGCCCACCAAGGCGACGAUCCAUAGCCGGCCUGAGAGGGUGAACGGCCACAUUGGGACUGAGACACGGCCCAGACUCCUACGGGAGGCAGCAGUGGGGAAUAUUGCACAAUGGGGGAAACCCUGAUGCAGCGACGCCGCGUGAAGGAAGAAGUAUCUCGGUAUGUAAACUUCUAUCAGCAGGGAAGAUAGUGACGGUACCUGACUAAGAAGCCCCGGCUAACUGCGUG